AACUUCACUCGGAAGUGCUUCAGCGCCUCCUCUGUUUUCCCCGGUGCCAGGGAGUCCUUGAGAUACCGGAUGUCUUUGGAGCAGCUGAGCUCAGGCAGGCCUGCUGCCUGCAUCAGGGCAAAGAGGUGGAGGAAGAGAAGCCCGUGGCGCCGCAGGAUGGUGUUAGGCCCUUUCACAGUAGCCCCGGAACCUUUCAAAUUUCUCAUAUUAUUAGUCUUCCCCUGCUCAAUCACACGGACAAAGUCAUAGGGGAAAAUUCCUGAGUGAUUCUUCUUGAAGCUUAAAUUCUGUGGGAUUUUUAUGGGGGAAAACUUAGGAGAGGAACCAGACAGCCCAUCUAGGAGCUGAUACUCUUCUAGUGAAGACCACCCUUGCAGGAAAGCAUCUGUCCUCCCAGA
rnacentral:lncRNA from 1 species